GAAAUUGUCACGAUUCUCCUCUACAGUUCAAUGAUGGCUAUGCUUCAAGAGCUGCGACAGGCUGAGCAACCAAGAUCACGGCUGUGGUGAUGACGGUGGUGGGUCCACCCGUCCUUGCAGGAGCGGGAUAGGUUGGGACAGGCCAACAAUCUCUUUCCACUGCUUCGUGAUCGAGACGUUGAGUACUACAAAGAGUUCUUGUUUGCAGAAGUAGGCCUCAAUGGCAGCGAAUCAGAUGUGGGUAAUUUUGGCCAGAGCCCAUUCUUCAAGAGAGUUGACCAAAGCCUGCAAGGGAUUCCUGAAGACGCUCUUUUGGUCGACAUUGGCAGCAAGCCCUACUUCUUUGUAGGAGACAAAGCGUUUCCUCUGAAAACCUACCUCAUGAGGCCGUAUGCUAGGAAGACUUGCUUUUACAGGGUUCGUACAGACUCAAAAGGGGAAGAUUCAAGGAAUUUCAAGGCCCAGUUGGAGUAUCUUCAAGGACUCAACACAAUGCUGCAUGCAGCAGUUUUCAUAUCAGGUACAAAUUUCACUGAACAGAGUCGGAAAAAAAAAAAACAUUUCAAGGAACAGCUUGUAUUGCACUAAACCAACAUAAUAUUACUGAACAAAGUCGAAAAAAAGCAUUUUGAGGAACAGCUUGUACCGCACUAAACCAACAUAAUGUUACUGGACAAAGGAAAAAAAAAAACAUUUCAAGGAACAGCUUGUAUUGCACUAAACCAACAUAAUAUUACUGAACAGAGUUGAAGAAAAACAUUUCAAGGAACAGAUUGUAUUGCACUAAACCAACAUAAUAUAUGUUCUGUCUUGAAAAACACCCUGCAGUGCAUUGCACCAAUGUCGAACAGCAAUCGAUUCUGCGAAAGUGCUAAUGGCAACUUCAGGGGAGCUCCUGCCGCUUUUCCUGAAUCUUCAGGUUGAGGCUACACAGUUCCUCAGUCUUGCUUUGUGCAGCCUUCCUCAGACUAUUUGAUCUAACCACAUACUUCAGAUCAUUAGCUGCUUUUGCAUAUGUAUCCGCUGAAGCCUGGAGGUCAGCUAUUGUUGCCUCGAGUUUCUGUUUCUUUUUUUUCAUUGCGUCGAUCUCUUUGUCGAUGCAGCGCCUCUUUGAUUCCCCUACAUCAUCACAUUGCUUCUUUUUUUCUGCUUCCAGAUAUCCAGCAUACUGCUGCUGUUCAGCUGAUACAGCAGUACUCAGCUCUUUUGUAAUAGGGACGUUAAGGACGCCCCCUGCCUUGUCCACAGCGUCGCAUACUACGUUGCGAAAUGUACGACAGGUCCUUCAGGAUUUCUUCAGCAACCUGGCGGUUCACGCUAAAUCCUCGCUCCACAAUGGCCUGUCCGUGGCUGAGCGUGAGCAAAAGCUUGACAACCUUCCACAGUUCCCCAUAUGAUGAAAUAAACUUCAUCAGCUCAGUGAAGAAUUCGUCCAACCUGUUUACGUUCUUCUCACACAUUUGCAGCUUAUGCAUCUCUUCCUACAGGAACUCGGUGUACUCUCCAGUACAGUGUCUCUUUGGUGCUCAGACAUUCUGCCCGCUGUAAUGAGGGCACCCAACACUCUUCUGAAGCUGGCCAGGCACUCAUCUGGUUUAGUACACAUUUGUCAUGGGUCCAGAGAGGACAAACUCCUUUCUCUCAAGCACCUUCUUUGUCACACUGAUCAAGAAGCAUUUGCAUUCCAUGCAGAACUGGAACACAUCCCUCUGGCUUGCUUUAGUUUUCCUGACAGUCUGUGCAGCGGCAUGGCCUACAUCCACCUUUUCAAGUGGAGUGUGGUUCUCGGUGCUUUCAAUGUCCACCAUCAGCAGACCAGUGGCUCCUUUUGCUGAAGACAAGACCGAGCAUUUCAGAAACUUCGUCAGUAGCUUCCUGACCACAGUUUCCAAGUCCCUUGCAAGAAAGAACACCAUGGGCUGAUCCGUUUGGUACUCAGUGAGGAAUGGCUUGAGGGUCAUGGCCACACCCAGUGCAAUUUGAAGCUUUGCUAGCAGUAAGUCAUCACUGGCAAACUCACACAAGUUGUGAAAUGAUCCAAACUUUGGGGCGCUUACUUCCUUCCUUGCAGCUGAAAUAAACUUCUUAAUGUCACACCACAACAGCAAGGCUCUCUCUAUCACAGGCACAAUCUCCAACCACCGGUGGGCAACAAAGUUCAGGGGAAAAGUCUCCUGACCGGUAACUGCUGAGAAGUCCUCCCUCCUUGCAGGAGAACCAUGGAAAAGCGCGCUCAGACUGGAGAGCAGACAGUCAAGUCCCCACUUGCUGUAACACCUUCCCUGUAGGCGUUGUGUAUGGUGUGGAGGCCACAAGUCCCAAUGUCCAGACAUUGAACUUGGUAUGCUUGAUGCAGGUGCUCUUGGAAAUUCUUGAGUAACUUCAGGUUAACAUUGGGACCAUUCAUUGAAAUCUGAAGAAUUUUCUCAAGAGGGAAGGGCUCGAGCACAGUCAGCAGCGUUCCUUGGACGUCCUCUGUCGAGUGCCCCAUAAGCACCGAGGUAUAGUACUUCGCUGCCACCUUGUGAGACGAAUUCCAAAACCGGAUGUGAACAUUCAAUUGUUUCCGCUGGAGAUAAGUCGUUCGUGGACUCGUCGAAGAGUACCACGUAGUAAUCGCAAUCUUUUAUCUCCUGUUGCAGAGCAGAUAAAAAGAAGGGCCUCAGACCAUGGCACGUCACAUAGGCACAUUUUUUCUCUCCGUAAGAAAAUGCUUUGGCUACGCCACUGUUCGGGAACAUACAUUGGAAUAGCUGGCCUGCUUCCGACGACGAACGAUAGGAAAAAUGCGAUGUGGCAACCUUCAAAGUCCACAGAAUCUCUGCGUUCGUCACCAGCUCGUGUGCCUUGCAAGCAUCAUCUAGCUUUCCAGAUUGCGAAGGAGGUGGGAUGGCUGACUUUCCCCAUACUUGGAACUAAGUACAUUCGCACCAAGCUGUUGGCUGCAAUCUUCAUGAUGCCAGCACGGUUAGCACUCUUCAUAUGGCUCUUUAAUGCUGACUCGCCCAUGUUGGUGAUAUCGAAGGUCUUUCUGCAAGGCCUGCAUCUUGCACAGUGCUCACUCGUCGUAUCUGGUGCAAUGCAGUCUUUGUAAGCGUCGUUGUGAAGCCAUGCGCCUUGAAAUUUGCUUUUCCCAGGCAUUUGCUUCGUAUUCAGAUGUUUCAGCCACAACAAGUCGGGUGCAGAAGCGACGGCACAAUGCAAUGCCAUCAAUUGACCACCAUAACAAAGCGCCAAGAUCGGAUUAGAUUGAAUCGGCUCAAGCUGGCUUCAGAGCCGAGUGGCUCCUUUGUGGCUAACCGUGGCGCAACAUGGGCUAUAUUAGCACAAACUGAUUUUUUACACCUGAAACGCAUAUACUGAAACACGAUACUGAAAAUACAAAUAUUUUAACUGUGUUAUUUUUAUUAAUAGUCAUUUGCAUGUACUACGAUAGGAAUUCAAGGAUUUGCAAGGAGCAUCAAAAAGUCCAGAAUUUUCAAGAGCCUUGAAAACGAAAUAUUCAAAUUCAAGGGCUUUCAAGGUUUUCAAGGACCUGUGCGCACCCUGUUUUAUGAUUAGUUGUUGAAGUGAUAUUAAUUGCCACAUGUUGGAGCAAGCACUUACGCUUCCAUGUUCCAUUUGUUUUGAGUUUAGGCUUGCCUACGCUGCAUGAGACAGGCUUUGCAAACACUUCAUCGGAAGCGGCAAGGUCCCCUGGCAAGAGAUGAUCAGAAGCAGCAGAAUGUAGUAAUGCAGCUGCUGGUGUUGCUGGGCCACCUGAUGGAACUGAGGAGCUAGAAGUUCCCGGCAGCUCAGCUUGGUCCUGGAGAUUUCCGUUUCCAGUGCACAACAGUUAUUAAAUGAAUAAACCUAUAAUUAUUUGACGGCCUAAGUUUGGG